AGGAAGGAGAGGGUGUGCCCUGGAGUUUCUUGGCUGCGCUCUCGUGCUGUUGGUAGUCCAGUGCCAACACCCCCACUCCUGAGCUGGUGACCCACGCUGGAUGCAUCCAGCCUUCAGCUCUUCUGCGCUGUUUCAGUGCAGCUUCUGCAUCCCACCCCAGAGGCAGCUGCACCGCUGCAUUGGGCAAGGAACCCCUGCAUAAAGAGCUGAUGUACCCCACCCCAGAUGUGGUAUCCCUGCAGUGAUGGGUGUUAUCUGGACCGGUGAUCUGCUAGGUCACUCCAA